CAAAUUGCUUUAUGACUCCAAAAGUGAUAUCAAUAAUUAGAAAGACAUACCCUAGCAAGUAUAUCCGCAAAUAAACAGCAGAGUCCUUUAGAAGAUGGUCAAUAAGCUCAGGUUCAGGCAUUUUCGGUGCAUCUGGUAUCCAGUUCAGGAACCUUAUAUGCGCCCUCCAAUCAACAUUACUUAGUAAAAAAUUAUUAGUCAAAAUUAUGCAAUCAAUGGUAGUAGUGCUCUCCAACUCCUAUUAAAUUUUUGCUAUUUUUGUAGGAUCUUAUGGCCGAAAGUCAGAUGAAGUGUGUUUUACAAACUCCUAUCGAGAAAAGCGUAUCAGAAAGUGGAUCGUCCGUGUUUAAAGAUGGUAAUGCUUGCAAUGCAAAAAUAUCUCCUUUGAAGACGUAUGACAAGAGGAGUAGAUCCGCUAAUAAGGCAUCAGCAGUAGCCGGACCCAGAGUUACUAAUAUGUGAAAAUGGGAAGACUUAAUGGCAGACGGAAUGGAGGUUUGAUUAUCAAUGGUUCUCCCAACGACAAAACUCUAUUGUAAAUGUUGCUCGAGGGUAUGGAGCUACUAUUUGGAUUUUUCAACAUAACAAUGAGUUUUUGCAACUUGGGAUAUGUCCUUUUAGUCAUAACAUGUUUAUAGAGUGAGUUCAUCUUAUUUCGUAUUAAUGCUUUGUUUAGCCCUAACUUCUGUACGAUUUUUUAAUUGGUGAAGGUUUUGAAAAAACAUAUUUACGAGGGACAAUCCAGUCCACACA